CGCAGCACAAAAAGCGACUCAACCGCCACCAGAAGACCAGUGGCGGUAACCAAGACCUUGCAGCCAACACCAGCAUCAUGGGCAAGAGGUUCCGCCACUUCAUUUCCUCCACACAAAAGAAGAAGAAAACAGCUCAUCAGGUAGAGAGCACAGUCUCAGUGGUUACAGAAGCACAAGCACCAGCAGAGACCGAGUCCAACCCGCCCCUGGCUCUGCAGCAG